AAGCGUUGUUCGGAAUUAUUGGGCGUAAAGCGUGCGCAGGCGGAUUUUUAAGUCAGAUGUGAAAUCCCCGGGCUCAACCUGGGAACUGCCUUUGGUACUGCANGGCUUGAGUACGGCAGAGGGGAAUGGAAUUCCGCGUGUAGCUGUGAAAUGCGUAGAUAUUCGGAGGAACACCAAUGGCGAAGGCGAGUCCCUGGACCGGUUACUGACGCUUCAUGCACGAAAAGCGUGGGGGAGCAAAACAGGAAUUUAGAAUACCCUGGGUAUUCCA
rnacentral:rRNA from 1 species